ensembl:lncRNA
UAUGCAGCUACCCUAUGUACAUGUGCAUCUUAUCUUUAUUUAUGGGUGCGGCUGAAUGUGACGGAUUUGCGGCCUGCCUUGUAACACCAACCAGCGCCACCAAAACAAGACAGAUAAACAAACAAACAAACAAACGAACGAACGGAAGACACAGGCUGGGCGAUGCGUAAUGAGAGACAUGCGGGAGCGCGCGCGCGCGCGCACGAUCGAGCGGCUGGUCUAAUUCGUGAGAUCGUGACGCGUUAAUAAAAACAAAAUGGUGGAGCCGCUGCUGUAGGGGCAAACUAAACAGCCUGCACAGCCGGGCGAAAUUAGAAAGAGGUGCAAUUUAUUGCGGCCUCGUCAUAUGUGCAUCAGUGCGAGCGAUGCACGCACGCACGCGCGCGCGCGCGCAUCCCGACUUAUGCACAGACGAGCGGAAACCGGGCCUUUAGAUCAUCAUGGUCAUCCUUCCUUCCAUCCAUCCAUCCAUGCACACGCUAUCGCUAUACACACAUCCUUAAUAAAUUACACCGGGAUAAAUGCACCGCGCGUUAUUGAUGUUACCUCUCAUACAGGCACGAGGGGGUGGGGGUAUCGGGGGAGGGGGACACGGCAAGCACGCGCACCAACACCGACUCCGACACAGGUCCCUCCCUUCUUCUUCUUCUUCUUCUUCUUCUUCUUCAGUACCGGGCUCCACUAUAAACCCUCUCCUUUUAUUCCACGGCGUAAUGCGUUGUUUUUUCUCUUUUAAAGAAAUCCACCGACUGGUCACGAGCAAAACGGAAGCAAGGAAGACACCCGUGAUGUCGCCAUCGUCGCUCGCGCUCAGCAGCGGAUGAACCGAAUGACCCUGAACGGGAACGGAGAGCUACGCAGACGAGACACCAGUGGUAGAGAUGAUGGAGAUGAGGCGGGAGGAAGUAUCAGUUGUGGCAGAGGACAGACACGCAGAGAGUCCGAUUUCUCGUCUCGGGUAACCGGAGCGGGUCUAAACCGCUGGUCUGUUCUAUCUUACUGAUGACCACAAAGGCACAAUAGAGGCAAGAGGCACUACUAAAACAAUCCAGAGUGGUUCUGAAUCUUCUACAGGAUGAACCUGAUGAGCGUAAAGUGUCCACCAGAGGAAGAGCAAACAUACCAGCGGAGCUUCGACCUUAUCACGCUACAGGCCCUGGAGAUGAGAGCAACACACACACCUCAUAAUACACACCGGACAUCUCACACUGUGUACCAGCAGCAGUUCGGACGCCAGGCUCACCUUUACCGUCAGUGCUUUCAUAGUUCUUCCCUGAAAGGCUGUGCCCCCCACCACACACAAACAGGAAUAGUUUAGUCUAGGGGUGUAACACAGUGUCAUCUGUAUCUGGAUUUGGAUUUAAACAUAAAGUGGGCGUGGCAUUAAAAUAUAUGUAUAAUGAACCAUACAACUAUGCACCAUGAAACUCGUGAAAACAGUGGAAGAUGUUAGUAAUGUCAGCAUGGGCUGUAAACUCUGGCUCUGAUAGUUCCUCAACCUCAGCUAGAGAUGUGCACAGGAGUGUUUCUUAGGCAGUUAGUAAGGAUGAGUAUAUGACCGUGGUUGAUUGUACUACCAGAAUUGUCAUUUUUAGCGCCCUCUGCUGGCUGAAAGGUGAAUUAUGAUAUCACAGUGUAUUAUGCAUUAUGAUCUUUGUUAUAUUUGUAAUGUUGAAAAAUUGACAUAACAUUCUAUUGAUUAUGCUGUUAUUGUUUUGUAG